rnacentral:rRNA from 1 species
GAACACCAGUGGCGAAGGCGGCUUNCUGGACUGUAACUGACGCUGAGUCACGAAAGCGUGGGUAGCAAACAGGAUUAGAUACCCUGGUAGUCCACGCUGUAAACGAUGAGUGCUAGGUGUUGGGUAGCGAUAUUCAGUGCCGGAGUAAACACAAUAAGCACUCCGCCUGGGGAGUACGGUCGCAAGACUGAAACUCAAAGGAAUUGACGGGGGCCCGCACAAGCAGCGGAGCAUGUGGUUUAAUUCGAAGCAACGCGAAGAACCUUACCUAGACUUGACAUCUCCUGCAUUACCCUUAAUCGGGGAAGUCNCUUCGGCGACAGGAAGACAGGUGGUGCAUGGUUGUCGUCAGCUCGUGUCGUGAGAUGUUGGGUUAAGUCCCGCAACGAGCGCAACCCUUAUUGUUAGUUGCUACCAUUUAGUUGAGCACUCUAGCGAGACUGCCCGGGUUAACCGGGAGGAAGGUGGGAUGACGUCAAAUCAUCAUGCCCCUUAUGUCUAGGGCUACACACGUGCUACAAUGGCAAGUACAAAGAGAAGCAANACCGCGAGGUGGAGCAAANCUANAAAACUNGUCUCAGUUCGGAUUGUAGGCUGAAACUCGCCUACAUGAAGCUG